rnacentral:rRNA from 1 species
GAUGAACGCUGGCGGCGUGCCUAAUACAUGCAAGUCGAGCGAACGGACGAGAAGCUUGCUUCUCUGAUGUUGGCGGCGGACGGGUGAGUAACACGUGGAUAACCUACCUAUAAGACUGGGAUAACUUCGGGAAACCGGAGCUGAUACCGGAUAAUAUUUUGAACCGCAUGGUUCAAAAGUGAAAGACGGUCUUGCUGUCACUUAUAGAUGGAUCCGCGCUGCAUUAGCUAGUUGGUAAGGUAACGGCUUACCAAGGCAACGAUGCAUAGCCGACCUGAGAGGGUGAUCGGCCACACUGGAACUGAGACACGGUCCAGACUCCUACGGGAGGCAGCAGUAGGGAAUCUUCCGCAAUGGGCGAAAGCCUGACGGAGCAACGCCGCGUGAGUGAUGAAGGUCUUCGGAUCGUAAAACUCUGUUAUUAGGGAAGAACAUAUGUGUAAGUAACUGUGCACAUCUUGACGGUACCUAAUCAGAAAGCCACGGCUAACUACGUG